rnacentral:rRNA from 1 species
CCUACGGGAGGCAGCAGUGGGGAAUAUUGGACAAUGGGCGCAAGCCUGAUCCAGCAAUGCCGCGUGUGUGAAGAAGGCCUUAGGGUUGUAAAGCACUUUCAGUGGGGAGGAAGUUGAAGAUAUUAAUACCAUUUUCAAUUGACGUUACCCACAGAAGAAGCACCGGCUAACUCUGUGCCAGCAGCCGCGGUAAUACAGAGGGUGCGAGCGUUAAUCGGAAUUACUGGGCGUAAAGGGUGUGUAGGUGGUUAGGUAAGUUAGAUGUGAAAUCCCUGGGCUCAACCUGGGAACUGCGUUUAAAACUGUUUAGCUAGAGUAUUGCAGAGGAUAGUGGAAUUUCCAGUGUAGCGGUGAAAUGCGUAGAUAUUGGAAGGAACACCAGUGGCGAAGGCGACUAUCUGGGCAAAUACUGACACUGAGACACGAAAGCAUGGGGAGCAAACAGGAUUAGAUACCCUGGUAGUCCAUGCUGUAACUAUAGAGAACUUAGUCUGUUGGUACGACGAUAAAGGUACGUUUAAGUUAGUACGAAGACGUAACGUACGGUUAACGUUUACGUUCCGUCCGUCGGGGUAGGGUACGGGUUCCGGCGACGGACGUUAAACGUUAACGAAGUUAGAGUUAGUUACGGGACGUUGAGGACGUUGCCGACGGACGACGACGAGGGAGGAGG